rnacentral:rRNA from 1 species
AUGAAGAGGAAUGGUGCCAUUCUGGACCUUUUUCGGAAACAUGAAGAGAAAGCGAGGAAGAUUGCUACUGAACAUCACACUGAAGAUAUUGAAAAUGCGCGGUGUCCUAAUUCCCCACCUCCAAUCCAUUCCGAUACGGACAUGGAUACAGAUACUGAGAUCGAUGUUGAAAUUGAAGAUGCAAUGCCAAGUCUUCCAUCACCCGAACAGCCAAGUGCACAUGUCUUUUCAGGUGAUCCAGGGAAAAGAACUCCUAUUUCAGAGUAUGAUUUUAAUGAUCAAGAUAGUGUUCGAAGAAGAUACAUUGCAAAAACUGCAUGCCGACCAUAUGCACAUGCUUUUCAAGUCAGGAAAAUCUAUGGUAAAACUCGACACUUUAGUUUUGUUUGA